UGGUUCUCCUGUGCAACGAAGGUGUUUUACUGAUUGCCAGACGCUUCCGGGUAAUCGUGCUGUGUAUUACGGAAGGUCUUGGGCAAAGCACCUGCUGGGUAGCUGUACCGUAUUUAAGCACAACAUCAAGAAGGAUUGUGAAGAUUGGCGCAAAGGGCUGUUUUCCCACUGUGUCAAUUCAUUUGUCAACGUUGAGGUAAAAGAAAAUUAUAUUGUUUGCAAUGUUACAUGACUAUUUGUGCAUGUGUGAAUUGAGCAUUAAUUUUAAUGAUUUUGUGUCUGCAGGCAGAUUGCUCCUGCUGCUUUGCCUUGCCUAAAUUACGUUAGAUCUUUUCUUUUUUUUUAUUGUGUUUCUUUCGUAGCCUCCGUCUAACGAACUGUCCGACUGAUGUGGUAUUGGCUGUUUUGCUAGUGAUAGUUUUACAUUCUCAAUCUACUCUGCUAGUGAUAACUCACUUAUUCUUUUAUUUCUUCUUUUCCA